CCUACGGGGGGCAGCAGUGAGGAAUAUUGGUCAAUGGACGAGAGUCUGAACCAGCCAAGUAGCGUGAAGGAUGACUGCCCUAUGGGUUGUAAACUUCUUUUAUAUGGGAAUAAAAUGUUUCACGUGUGGGAUUUUGUAUGUACCAUAUGAAUAAGGAUCGGCUAACUCCGUGCCAGCAGCCGCGGUAUUACGGAGGAUCCGAGCGUUAUCCGGAUUUAUUGGGUUUAAAGGGAGCGUAGGGGGAUUGUUAAGUCAGUUGUGAAAUUUUGCGGCUCA
rnacentral:rRNA from 1 species